GCAGCUGUGGCUCAGUGGGAAGAGUAGUUGUCUUGCAUUCAGAAAGUUGUGAGUUUGAUUCAUUGUUCCUCCCCUGCUACA